AGAGUUUGAUCCUGGCUCAGGAUGAACGCUGGCGGCGUGCCUAACACAUGCAAGUCGAACGAAGCAAUUAAGAUGAAGUUUUCGGAUGGAAUCUUGAUUGACUGAGUGGCGGACGGGUGAGUAACGCGUGGAUAACCUGCCUCACACUGGGGGAUAACAGUUAGAAAUGACUGCUAAUACCGCAUAAGCGCACAGUGCCGCAUGGCAGUGUGUGAAAAACUCCGGUGGUGUGAGAUGGAUCCGCGUCUGAUUAGCCAGUUGGCGGGGUAACGGCCCACCAAAGCGACGAUCAGUAGCCGACCUGAGAGGGUGACCGGCCACAUUGGGACUGAGACACGGCCCAAACUCCUACGGGAGGCAGCAGUGGGGAAUAUUGCACAAUGGGCGAAAGCCUGAUGCAGCGACGCCGCGUGAGUGAAGAAGUAUUUCGGUAUGUAAAGCUCUAUCAGCAGGGAAGAAAAUGACGGUACCUGACUAAGAAGCCCCGGCUAACUACGUGCCAGCAGCCGCGGUAAUACGUAGGGGGCAAGCGUUAUCCGGAUUUACUGGGUGUAAAGGGAGCGUAGACGGCGAAGCAAGUCUGAAGUGAAAACCCAGGGCUCAACCCUGGGACUGCUUUGGAAACUGUUUUGCUAGAGUGUCGGAGAGGUAAGUGGAAUUCCUAGUGUAGCGGUGAAAUGCGUAGAUAUUAGGAGGAACACCAGUGGCGAAGGCGGCUUACUGGACGAUAACUGACGUUGAGGCUCGAAAGCGUGGGGAGCAAACAGGAUUAGAUACCCUGGUAGUCCACGCCGUAAACG
rnacentral:rRNA from 1 species